UACGAAGGUGGCAAGCGUUGUUCGGAUUUACUGGGCGUACAGGGAGCGUAGGCGGUUGGAUAAGCCCUCCGUGAAAUCUCCAGGCUUAACCUGGAAAGUGCAGAGGGGACUGUUCAGCUAGAGGAUGGGAGAGGAGCGCGGAAUUCCCGGUGUAGCGGUGAAAUGCGUAGAGAUCGGGAGGAAGGCCGGUGGCGAAGGCGGCAUCCUGGACCGACACUGACGCUGAUGAGCGAAAGCCAGGGGAGCAAACGGG
rnacentral:rRNA from 1 species